rnacentral:rRNA from 1 species
GACGAACGCUGGCGGCGUGCCUAAUACAUGCAAGUUGAGCGCUGAAGGUUGGUACUUGUACCAACUGGAUGAGCAGCGAACGGGUGAGUAACGCGUGGGGAAUCUGCCUUUGAGCGGGGGACAACAUUUGGAAACGAAUGCCAAUACCGCAUAAAAACUUUAAACACAAGUUUUAAGUUUGAAAGAUGCAAUUGCAUCACUCAAAGAUGAUCCCGCGUUGUAUUAGCUAGUUGGUGAGGUAAAGGCUCACCAAGGCGAUGAUACAUAGCCGACCUGAGAGGGUGAUCGGCCACAUUGGGACUGAGACACGGCCCAAACUCCUACGGGAGGCAGCAGUAGGGAAUCUUCGGCAAUGGACGAAAGUCUGACCGAGCAACGCCGCGUGAGUGAAGAAGGUUUUCGGAUCGUAAAACUCUGUUGGUAGAGAGGAACGUUGGUGAGAGUGGAAAGCUCAUCAAGUGACGGUAACUACCCAGAAAGGGACGGCUAACUACGUG